GUCGCUAUAACAGAAUGCCAGAGACU
rnacentral:piRNA from 1 species